rnacentral:rRNA from 1 species
UACGGAGGGGACUAGCGUUGUUCGGAAUUACUGGGCGUAAAGCGCACGUAGGUGGCUUGCUCAGUCAGACGUGAAAUCCCUCAGCUUAACUGGAGAACUGCGUCUGAUACUAGCGAGCUUGAGUGCAGGAGAGGAACGCGGAAUUCCAGGUGUAGCGGUGAAAUGCGCAGAUAUCAGGAGGAACACCGGUGGCGAAGGCGGGUCUCUGGGCCGAUACUGACGCUGAGGAGCGAAAGCGUGGGGAGCGAACAGG